GAUGAAGAACGUAGCGAAAUGCGAUAAGUAAUGUGAAUUACAGAAUUCAGUGAAUCAUCGAAUCUUUGAACGCACAUUGCGCCCGUCAGUAUUCUGGCGGGCAUGCCUGUUCGAGCGUCAUUACGCCCCUCAAGUCCCCUGUGGACUUGGUGUUGGGGAUCGGCGAGGCUGGUUUUCCAGCACAGCCGUCCCUUAAAUUAAUUGGCGGUCUCGCCGUGGCCCUCCUCUGCGCAGUAGUAAAACACUCGCAACAGGAGCCCGGCGCGGUCCACUGCCGUAAAACCCCCCAACUUUUUAUAGUUGACCUCGAAUCAGGUAGGACUACCCGCUGAACUUAAGCAUAUCAAUAAGCGGAGGA
rnacentral:misc_RNA from 1 species